GACGAACGUUGGCGGCGUGCUUAACACAUGCAAGUCGAACGGAAAGGCCCUGCUUUUGUGGGGUGCUCGAGUGGCGAACGGGUGAGUAACACGUGAGUAACCUGCCCUUGACUUUGGGAUAACUUCAGGAAACUGGGGCUAAUACCGGAUAGGAGCUCCUGCUGCAUGGUGGGGGUUGGAAAGUUUCGGCGGUUGGGGAUGGACUCGCGGCUUAUCAGCUUGUUGGUGGGGUAGUGGCUUACCAAGGCUUUGACGGGUAGCCGGCCUGAGAGGGUGACCGGCCACAUUGGGACUGAGAUACGGCCCAGACUCCUACGGGAGGCAGCAGUGGGGAAUAUUGCACAAUGGGCGGAAGCCUGAUGCAGCAACGCCGCGUGCGGGAUGACGGCCUUCGGGUUGUAAACCGCUUUCGCCUGUGACGAAGCGUGAGUGACGGUAAUGGGUAAAGAAGCACCGGCUAACUACGUGCCAGCAGCCGCGGUGAUACGUAGGGUGCGAGCGUUGUCCGGAUUUAUUGGGCGUAAAGGGCUCGUAGGUGGUUGAUCGCGUCGGAAGUGUAAUCUUGGGGCUUAACCCUGAGCGUGCUUUCGAUACGGGUUGACUUGAGGAAGGUAGGGGAGAAUGGAAUUCCUGGUGGAGCGGUGGAAUGCGCAGAUAUCAGGAGGAACACCAGUGGCGAAGGCGGUUCUCUGGGCCUUUCCUGACGCUGAGGAGCGAAAGCGUGGGGAGCGAACAGGCUUAGAUACCCUGGUAGUCCACGCUGUAAACGGUGGGUACUAGGUGUGGGGUCCAUUCCACGGGUUCCGUGCCGUAGCUAACGCUUUAAGUACCCCGCCUGGGGAGUACGGCCGCAAGGCUAAAACUCAAAGGAAUUGACGGGGCCCCGCACAAGCGGCGGAGCAUGCGGAUUAAUUCGAUGCAACGCGUAGAACCUUACCUGGGUUUGACAUGGAUCGGGAGUGCUCAGAGAUGGGUGUGCCUCUUUUGGGGUCGGUUCACAGGUGGUGCAUGGCUGUCGUCAGCUCGUGUCGUGAGAUGUUGGGUUAAGUCCCGCAACGAGCGCAACCCUUGUUCACUGUUGCCAGCACGUUAUGGUGGGGACUCAGUGGAGACCGCCGGGGUCAACUCGGAGGAAGGUGGGGAUGACGUCAAGUCAUCAUGCCCCUUAUGUCCAGGGCUUCACGCAUGCUACAAUGGCUGGUACAGAGAGUGGCGAGCCUGUGAGGGUGAGCGAAUCUCGGAAAGCCGGUCUCAGUUCGGAUUGGGGUCUGCAACUCGACCUCAUGAAGUCGGAGUCGCUAGUAAACGCAGAUCAGCAACGCUGCGGUGAAUACGUUCCCGGGGCU
rnacentral:rRNA from 1 species